AGUGAACGCUGGCGGUAGGCCUAACACAUGCAAGUCGAACGGCAGCACCGUAAGAGCUUGCUCUUACGGGUGGCGCGUGGCGGACGGGUGCGGAAUACAUCGGAAUCUACUUUUUCGUGGGGGCUAACGUAGGGAAACUUACGCUCAUACCGCAUACGCCCUACGGGUGAAAGCAGGGGAUCUUCGGACCUUGCGCGAUUGAAUGAGCCGAUGUCGGAUUAGCUAGUUGGCGGGGUGAAGGCCCACCAAGGCGCCGAUCCGUAGCUGGUCUGAGAGGAUGAUCAGCCACAAUGGAACUGAGACGCGGUCCAGAAGACUACGGGAGGAAGCAGUGGGGAAGAGUGGACAAUGGGGGGAAGCCUGAUCCAGCCACACCGCGUGGGUGAAGAAGGCGUUCGGGGUGUAAAGACCUUUUGUUGGGAAAGAAAAGCAGCAGGUUAUUACCCCGCGGUUCUGACGGAGCCCAAAGAAGAAGCACCGGCUAACUACGUG
rnacentral:rRNA from 1 species